CAUGGAGGCUUAAAAUUGUGGUGUGAUCAUAAAGGUGACAUCCUUCUAACAGGUGCUUUAGAAGUGGAUGGAGGCAGCUCAGAACCCCAGCCUGAACCUGGAAGGAUGCUGCAGGUGUGCAAACAUACAACAAAGAAAGGAGCUCUGCCUAAAGCUUUCCAAACUGACUGCAAGAUGAAAUACCACAGGUGGAUGAAAGGAAGGCAGGGAAGAACAAAAGGAAACCGUGAGUCACAUUGCGCUAUUAUCUGAGAAAUGCUGCUGCUCACAGAGGUGAAUUCUAGCCCUUGAGAGGCUGCUUGUGGAACAGACUGAGGAAUUGUCAUCUUGGAGGUGAGUGUGGAAUUGCUGAGAGAAGCUCCUGUAUUCAGAA
rnacentral:lncRNA from 1 species